GAGGGGACAGCUCAAAUGGUAAGAGCGCAUGCUUAGCAUGCAUGGGGUGUUGGGUUCAAUCCCCUAUACCUCCU
rnacentral:tRNA from 1 species